rnacentral:rRNA from 2 species
AAAUUGAAGAGUUUGAUCAUGGCUCAGAUUGAACGCUGGCGGCAGGCCUAACACAUGCAAGUCGAGCGGUAGCACAGAGAGCUUGCUCUCGGGUGACGAGCGGCGGACGGGUGAGUAAUGUCUGGGAAACUGCCUGAUGGAGGGGGAUAACUACUGGAAACGGUAGCUAAUACCGCAUAAUGUCGCAAGACCAAAGUGGGGGACCUUCGGGCCUCAUGCCAUCAGAUGUGCCCAGAUGGGAUUAGCUAGUAGGUGGGGUAAUGGCUCACCUAGGCGACGAUCCCUAGCUGGUCUGAGAGGAUGACCAGCCACACUGGAACUGAGACACGGUCCAGACUCCUACGGGAGGCAGCAGUGGGGAAUAUUGCACAAUGGGCGCAAGCCUGAUGCAGCCAUGCCGCGUGUGUGAAGAAGGCCUUCGGGUUGUAAAGCACUUUCAGCGGGGAGGAAGGCGGUGAGGUUAAUAACCUCAUCGAUUGACGUUACCCGCAGAAGAAGCACCGGCUAACUCCGUGCCAGCAGCCGCGGUAAUACGGAGGGUGCAAGCGUUAAUCGGAAUUACUGGGCGUAAAGCGCACGCAGGCGGUCUGUCAAGUCGGAUGUGAAAUCCCCGGGCUCAACCUGGGAACUGCAUUCGAAACUGGCAGGCUAGAGUCUUGUAGAGGGGGGUAGAAUUCCAGGUGUAGCGGUGAAAUGCGUAGAGAUCUGGAGGAAUACCGGUGGCGAAGGCGGCCCCCUGGACAAAGACUGACGCUCAGGUGCGAAAGCGUGGGGAGCAAACAGGAUUAGAUACCCUGGUAGUCCACGCCGUAAACGAUGUCGAUUUGGAGGUUGUGCCCUUGAGGCGUGGCUUCCGGAGCUAACGCGUUAAAUCGACCGCCUGGGGAGUACGGCCGCAAGGUUAAAACUCAAAUGAAUUGACGGGGGCCCGCACAAGCGGUGGAGCAUGUGGUUUAAUUCGAUGCAACGCGAAGAACCUUACCUGGUCUUGACAUCCACAGAACUUUCCAGAGAUGGAUUGGUGCCUUCGGGAACUGUGAGACAGGUGCUGCAUGGCUGUCGUCAGCUCGUGUUGUGAAAUGUUGGGUUAAGUCCCGCAACGAGCGCAACCCUUAUCCUUUGUUGCCAGCGGUUAGGCCGGGAACUCAAAGGAGACUGCCAGUGAUAAACUGGAGGAAGGUGGGGAUGACGUCAAGUCAUCAUGGCCCUUACGACCAGGGCUACACACGUGCUACAAUGGCAUAUACAAAGAGAAGCGACCUCGCGAGAGCAAGCGGACCUCAUAAAGUAUGUCGUAGUCCGGAUUGGAGUCUGCAACUCGACUCCAUGAAGUCGGAAUCGCUAGUAAUCGUAGAUCAGAAUGCUACGGUGAAUACGUUCCCGGGCCUUGUACACACCGCCCGUCACACCAUGGGAGUGGGUUGCAAAAGAAGUAGGUAGCUUAACCUUCGGGAGGGCGCUUACCACUUUGUGAUUCAUGACUGGGGUGAAGUCGUAACAAGGUAACCGUAGGGGAACCUGCGGUUGGAUCACCUCCUUA